rnacentral:piRNA from 1 species
UUCGUCAGAACAAUUAUUAUU